AUACUCCCCUGGCAGGGAGCUACCAUGACCACAAGGCGGUUCUCCCAGGGCGAGGCUCACCCGUUGCGCUCCGGGUGUGCCGACCCCUGCGAUUUCCCCGAAUGUGGGAGACUCGACUGCAUAAUCUGUGGUAGUGGGCGACAGCGUUCACGCUCUCCCCUG